rnacentral:snRNA from 1 species
GUGCUCACUUCAGCAGCACAUACACUAAAAUUGAAACAGUACAGAGAUUAGCACGGCCCCUGCGCAAGGAUGACACGCAAAUUCGUGAAGCGUUCCUUAUUUUU